rnacentral:lncRNA from 1 species
UUUUGAAUAGUAUAUGUCCACUUAUAUGUAUGUAAAAGUUGAAAUUAAAAAUUUGUUUCAUAUGAUCAUGCUCUGCCGGAUAGAUGUUGUUCAGUCCAGGAUGAGCUUUUUGCUCUCAUUCGUGGCCUCCAGCUUGCAUGGGAUUUAAAGCAACAGCUGCAUGCUGAUGUGAGGGCUGUUGCUUGGCCUCCAGUUAUGAACAUGGUUGUUUUGG